rnacentral:rRNA from 1 species
AGCGAACGCUGGCGGCAGGCCUAACACAUGCAAGUCGAACGAAGUCUUCAGACUUAGUGGCGGACGGGUGAGUAACACGUGGGAACGUACCUUUUGGUUCGGAACAACUCAGGGAAACUUGAGCUAAUACCGGAUGAGCCCUUAGGGGGAAAGAUUUAUCGCCGAAAGAGCGGCCCGCGUUAGAUUAGCUAGUUGGUGAGGUAAAGGCUCACCAAGGCUACGAUCUAUAGCUGGUCUGAGAGGAUGAUCAGCCACACUGGGACUGAGACAUGGCCCAGACUCCUACGGGAGGCAGCAGUGGGGAAUCUUGCGCAAUGGGCGAAAGCCUGACGCAGCCAUGCCGCGUGAAUGAUGAAGGUCUUAGGAUUGUAAAAUUCUUUUACCAGGGACGAUAAUGACGGUACCUGGAGAAAAAGCCCCGGCUAACUUCGUGCCAGCAGCCGCGGUAAGAC